CAUAUAACUUAAAAUGACAUUUAGUAAAUGUCAUUUACUAACAUUUCUUGGUUGUGCUGUAAUUGAUUGAUAGCAUUAUUUCAUAUAUAGUUUUGAAAACAUUUUCAUCUUUUUCUACUUUUAAUACUGUUCAGGCUAGCAGGGAGACGGAGCCUAUCCCAGCUGACUUCAGGCGAAAGGCAGGGUCCACCCUGGACUGUUACCAGUCCUUCAAAGGACACACAGACAAGAACAUGUUGAAAGUAGACCAGACGUCAUCUGCUGUUUGAUAAAGUGCCUUGGAGAACCAACUGCUGAACAGAAGAAAGAUUACCAGGAUGUCAGCACUGAAUCGCUCCAAGAGGAGUAUUCUGCAUUCAGUGGCAGGACAUCAGCCAUUAGCCUUCACUCUGCUACUUGGAGACAUCACAAUAGUUGUGGUGUCCUGCGGGAUGGAAGCCGCUGUGGCAGCAGAAGUGAAUUUGCACUGGCAGCAUGCCGUGUAAGGAAGCGUGCUGCCUUCAAGUGUCCCUGAUGCAGGGAGGACAAGGUAGAUCUACCAGUGGCGUCAGUCCUCCAUCAUGUCCCACCGCCCCGCACCACUUCUCCAUCUGAGCCAAUAAACAUCCAGCACGUUACAAACAGAGGUUCAAGAAUGGCCGGGCGCGUCCGUAUAGAUUUGAUCUUGGACGCGUCGUCAAACAGAAGCUGUGGGAGCGUCAGUCUCGCCCCACAUUUAAAGAGACUGUGGAUGAGAACAACCAAGUCAAUAUCACUCCAUCGUACGGAGGUGGAGUAUUCCCACCUCUGUAUGAUGUUGACGUUUCACUUGAGCUUAAAUCUCUAAGGUGGAAGCAACAUGAUAAGAGUUAGGGGUAUAUCUAAAAGUAUGAACUCUUCAUAUGUGGGCCUUCUAGUGCACUGUUGGAAUGUGUGUGUGUCUUAUGUUGCUUUUAAAGCGCUAAUACUGGUGGACACUGCUGCUGUUUG